GUGAUGUCAUAAGACUUUAAUACGUAAGCAGCCUUGAUUGGGGCCAGCACCACUCCAGUGACUCUUCCCCCUGAGGAGAGAACAGUACAAUCCCAGCAGUGGGUGGGGUAGUCCGCAUCCACCAAUGAAAGCUUCACAGGAGACAACACAGGGAACACACCCUGCAGUUCAAUGAUACUGCAUCUCUGAUAAAUGCCAGGUCUAACUCAACUCAAGCCUAAGGCAGCCCCAGACUGGAUCACUAACACUACAGGGACCAAACACUGGCCACAACAGGAAAAUGCCAAAGGAAAGAGAUAAAUUGAAGAAAAUAUUUUAAGCAAAAAGAACCAGAACAUGAAGAUUUAGAAAAUUCUCAGCCUAUUUAUAUUUAAAGCAAAAAGAAAGAAAGCAUGCUUUGAAGUCACAACCCAAUUUUCUGGCUAGACAACUGUUUUUAUAAAGAAAUUUUGGAUGUGAGUUGUGGAUCUAAUAAACUAUUACAGCAGAAACACUGCCAGCCUGGACCAAAGGGAACAGAGAUAGAAUAAAAUGAAGGAAGGCUGUCAGACUUCUGUAAGACUUUUUAGAGAAAAAAGUGAAUUGAUAAAGCCAUUCUAUGAUGAAAUAUGCUAUUCUACAAGAAAAGGGAAGAAUAACUCCAAAGGGUAGUUCAAACAUCACUGGAGCUACCACUGCUACCAGAGGCCGAGGGCAAAGGCCAAAAGUUUUACAGGUUCUCAGAUGGAGAAGAAUUUUGCCUCAGGAUUAAACAUACUCCAAGUAUUACCCAUAACUGGAUGACUUAGAUGAUGAUAUUUGGGACUUUGAGUUGAUGAUAUUUAGGUGAGAUGCUGGAGUUAAAACUGGGGACCUAGGAAUGAGUUACAGAUCUCAGCAACAUCUAAUUUUGCCUGCUAGAGCCUAUGGAAGAAGUCACAACAGGUCACAGGCACCCCCUUGGACUUUGGGUCUACAAGCUGCCAAAAAAGUGCAUAUCCUUUAUGUGACAAUUAUUGGUUUUGGUGAAAACUGAGAACAUGACUUUGGUUAUGUAAUAAUCUUCUGAUAAGAAAUUCGAACCAAAACACAUUAAUAUAUUUCCUUUUGUUCUCUAGUUAUAUUAGGGUAUUCACAC